UACGAAGGGGGCUAGCGUUGCUCGGAAUCACUGGGCGUAAAGCGCACGUAGGCGGAUCUUUAAGUCAGGGGUGAAAUCCCAAGGCUCAACCUUGGAACCGCCUUUGAUACUGGGGAUCUCGAGUCCGGAAGAGGUUGGUGGGACUGCGAGUGUAGAGGUGAAAUUCGUAGAUAUUCGCAAGAACACCAGUGGCGAAGGCGGCCAACUGGUCCGGUACUGACGCUGAGGUGCGAAAGCGUGGGGAGCAAACAGG
rnacentral:rRNA from 1 species